UCCGAGUUCACCCCGGCAGUCUCCCAUGAGUUCCCGACACCACUCGCUGGCAACAUAGGACAAGGGUUGCGCUCGUUGCGGGACUUAACCCAACAUCUCACGACACGAGCUGACGACAACCAUGCACCACCUGUACACCCCCAACCAAAUGACCCCACAUCUCUGCAGGAACAGGGCAUAUGUCAAAUCCUGGUAAGGUUCUUCGCGUUGCAUCGAAUUAAGCCGCAUGCUCCGCCGCUUGUGCGGGCCCCCGUCAAUUCCUUUGAGUUUUAGCCUUGCGGCCGUACUCCCCAGGCGGGGCGCUUAAAGCGUUAGCUACGGCACAGAAAACCAAAAAGUCCCCCACACCUAGCGCCCAACGUUUACGGCUAGGACUAC
rnacentral:misc_RNA from 1 species